rnacentral:tRNA from 1 species
UCUCCAGUGGCACAAUCGGUUAGCGCGCCGUACUUAUAAUGCGGAGGUUGUGAGUUCGAGCCUCACCUGGGGAA